GUCUUUUAUUAUUAUUACUCCAUCAUUAUCAAAUUUUGCAAUUAAAAAAAACAAAACCUGUUCUUAAAAGCAGUUCAGUUGCGUCAGUGAGGUAACCUCAUUUUAUUAUUGCUGAUACACGACACCGUUUUUACUGUGUCAUUUCAAACAUAACUGCAGUAUUUAGAAACCUGACACAUUGGCUCCAUUCAGGCUAAAUAUAGAGAGUUACACAGAGUCACUGAGCUCAGGGCUGGUUACACAGGCACUGACCUCACUCUGUUGGAUCUCACGACUUAAACAUGGAAUUGUAAUGAAAUUAAUUAUUUCCCCUGAUGAAGCUGGGAUUCCCAUGACUACACUUUGGGUUAUUACAGCAUUCUGGGACAAUGAAUGAAGCUCCUCUGGAUACAUACUUUGACAUUCUUGACGAGGAAAGAAAACUGUAUGCAGCGGACUCCUUAAAUAAUUUGAACAAACUGAAUGUUUGUAGUGAUCCACACGACCUGUUAUCAACCGAGCUCCUGGAUAGCUCAUCUGAUGCUGACAAAAGAGAAAUUAAUGACAACAAAGAAUGCCCUAAAGCUGGUAAGUAAAGUGGGCAAAAGAAUUAACAGCAAACAAACUGUUUAUGUUAUCAAUGUAGAAAUGCAUUCCAGCUUGACCUAAAGCCUUUUUUUUUCUGCAGUAUUCAUGACAUGUUUUCAUUCUCUGCAAACUUGAUUUAAUCAAAUUUAAUCAAAAUAAGUCUGCAGGGUCACUCCAAAUAUACAGUGUAAGCACUGACUGGAAGGAGUUCCAUAUAUUUGCUUUGAGGAAGGACACACUGAAACUGUGGGCUCUCUUCCAAACGAAAGGAAAUUGGACCGUCCUGAAUGUGACUUUGAAAAACACACAAAAGAUAUACAGUAAACAAAAAAAAAAACUGACCUAGAAUGCUUGGGACGGGAGCAAAUGUAGCUGUCAAUGGUGUUUUUUGUUAUACAGUGUAGUUUUAGUUGUUGUAUUAUGAAAAUACAGCGUUUUGUUUAGCCAAUUUCUGAACUGUGUUUGGUCAUUUUACUUUGCAAUGAAGCAGGGGUUGGCGGCCACCAUUGAAGGCUUGAGAGAAUCUGAGGGAAAGUGCGGAGGUUUGAUUCACUGUUUAUAGAAAAGGGAGAUUAAGAAACUAAAAUGGUCUACAUUUGUUUGUUGGACGCCAUUUUGGAUCAAACUGUUCUGUAUGCGGAUGAAAAUAAUCAUGUGAGUGAGGUGAGUUUCUCAGACUGUCAGUUGAUCCGAAAUGGUGCCCACAAAAAGUGUGCUUUGUGUUUACACAACCUCCCCUUUCUCUAAAGCUUGGUUUGAACUAGUCAGCUAAGAAUGGCGUCAGAUAUACCACCAACUACAACAGCAACUACUAUACACAGAGUACAGUUGUACCAAGUUAUCCUCUAAUACAUCCCUUUGCAUAGUUCUGAAGGUGUAGGAGGACAGUGCCUGCCGAGAUGACACUUCAGCACUUGUAUGGUGAUGUAACAGCAUUGUGUGGGAAGCACCAUCAGUCACACCAGCACAUCGCACCUCCCUACACCCAUGAACUUUGCAGUUACCUGCGUCACAUUUUUACAAAAGGUCUUUCUUGCCAUUGUGUGGGAGGCUGUUUUGUACUGUGGAGUAAUCCCACAGGAAACAAGCUGAAUGUUAAUUAGAA